GUCUACGGCCAUACCACCCUGAACGCGCCCGAUCUUGUCUGAUCUCGGAAGCUAAGCAGGGUCGGGCCUGGUUAGUACUUGGAUGGAUGGCUAUGUGUUUCCACCUUAGGACCUCCUUUGCCAUAUCCC
rnacentral:rRNA from 1 species